AGUGAACGCUGGCGGCGCGCUCAACACAUGCAAGUCGAACGAGAACGGAUUAUAGCUUGCUAUAAUUGUCAGCUAAGUGGCGCACGGGUGAGUAAUGUAUAGGUAAUAUGCCUCUUACUAAGGGAUAACAAAUGGAAACGUUUGCUAAUACCUUAUACUCCUUAUUAACAGAAGUUAAUAAGGGAAAGAUUUAUUGGUAAGAGAUUAGCCUGUAUUGUAUCAGUUAGUUGGUGGGGUAAUGGCUUACCAAGACUAUGACACAUAACUGGUUUGAGAGGAUGAUCAGUCACACUGGAACUGAGACACGGUCCAGACUCCUACGGGAGGCAGCAGUGGGGAAUAUUGCACAAUGGACGAAAGUCUGAUGCAGCAACGCCGCGUGGAGGAUGACACAUUUCGGUGCGUAAACUCCUUUUAUAUGAGAAGAUAAUGACGGUAUUAUAUGAAUAAGCACCGGCUAACUCCGUGCCAGCAGCCGCCGUAA
rnacentral:rRNA from 1 species